GGUGACACAGUGACAGAGUGAGGGACUAGUGACGGGGGGUGACUAGUGAGGGAGGGGGUGACUAGUGACAGAAUGAGGAAGGGGGUGACUAGUGACGGAGGGAGAUGGUGACUAGUGACAGAGUGAGGGAGGUGGUGACUGUCACUAGUCACCCCAUCCCUCCCUUUGUCACUAAUCGCCACCUCCCUCACUCUGUCACUAGUCACCCCUUCCCUCCCUCACUUUGUCACUAGUCACCCCCUCCCUCUCUUUGUCACUAGUCACACCCUCCCUCACUCUGUCACUAGUCACACCCUUCCUCACUGUCACUAGUCACACCCUCCCUCUCUCUG